rnacentral:rRNA from 1 species
CCCUUAGACGUUCUGGGCCGCACGCGCGCUACACUGACGAAGGCAACGAGCUUUCCUUUACCGAAAGGUACGGGUAAUCUUUUGAAACUUCGUCGUGCUGGGGAUAGAUCCUUGCAAUUUUUGAUCUUAAACGAGGAAUGCCUAGUAAGCGCAAGUCAUCAACUUGCGUUGAUUACGUCCCUGCCCUUUGUACACACCGCCCGUCGCUACUACCGAUUGAAUGGUUUAGUGAGGCCUUCGGAUCCGCGACUCGUUUUGUGGAGAAGUUGGACAAACUCAGUCAUUUAGAGGGAGUAAAAGUCGUAACA